rnacentral:rRNA from 1 species
GAUUAUGGCUCAGGAUGAACGCUAGCUACAGGCUUAACACAUGCAAGUCGAGGGGCAGCAUGGGAGUUGCUUGCAAUUCCCGAUGGCGACCGGCGCACGGGUGAGUAACGCGUAUCCAACCUUCCCGUCACUCAGGGAUAGCCCGCCGAAAGGCGAAUUAAUACCUGAUGAUCUCCUUUGCGGACAUCUAAUGAGGAGUAAAGGUUUUUUCCGGUGACGGAUGGGGAUGCGUCUGAUUAGGUUGUUGGCGGGGUAACGGCCCACCAAGCCAUCGAUCAGUAGGGGUUCUGAGAGGAAGGUCCCCCACAUUGGAACUGAGACACGGUCCAAACUCCUACGGGAGGCAGCAGUGAGGAAUAUUGGUCAAUGGGCGAGAGCCUGAACCAGCCAAAGUAGCGUGGAGGAUGACGGCCCUACGGGUUGUAAACUCCUUUUAUCAGGGGAUAAAGUCCACUACGCGUAGUGGUUUGCAGGUACCUGAUGAAUAAGGACCGGCUAAUUCCGUGCCAGCCGCGGC